rnacentral:rRNA from 1 species
AGUUAUGGCCAUACCACCCUGAAUGUGCCCAAUAUCAUCUGAUCUUGGUAGCUAAGCAGGGUUGCACCUGGUUAGUACUUGGAUGGAAAACAAACAGUAGCCUAGCAU